rnacentral:rRNA from 1 species
UGAGGAAUAUUGGUCAAUGGGCGCAAGCCUGAACCAGCCAUCCCGCGUGAAGGAAGAAUGCGCUACGCGUUGUAAACUUCUUUUCCAGGGGGAGAAUUUUCCUGUCGAGACAGGGAUUGACGGUACCCUGGGAAUAAGCAUCGGCUAACUCCGUGCCAGCAGCCGCGGUAAUACGGAGGAUGCGAGCGUUAUCCGGAUUUAUUGGGUUUAAAGGGUGCGUAGGCGGAUUGAUAAGUCAGUGGUGAAAUUCUGCAGCUUAACUGUAGACUUGCCGUUGAUACUGUCAAUCUUGAGUGUGGUCAAGGCAGGCGGAAUGUGUAAUGUAGCGGUGAAAUGCUUAGAUAUUACACAGAACACCGAUCGCGAAGGCAGCUUGCUGGGUCAUUACUGACGCUGAUGCACGAAAGCGUGGGGAUCAAACAG